rnacentral:rRNA from 1 species
UACAGAGGUCUCAAGCGUUGUUCGGAUUCAUGGGGCGUAAAGGGUGCGUAGGUGGCGCGCUAAGUCAGGUGUGAAAUUUCGGAGCUUAACUCCGAAACUGCAUUUGAUACUGGCGUGCUUGAGGACUGGAGAGGAGACUGGAAUUCAUGGUGUAGCAGUGAAAUGCGUAGAUAUCUGGAGGAACACCGGUGGCGAAGGCGGCAUCCUGGACCAACACUGACGCUGAGGCACGAAGGCCAGGGGAGCAAACGGG